UGAAAUGUCUGCCCCACAGCAUC
rnacentral:miRNA from 1 species